rnacentral:rRNA from 1 species
GACGGGGGGGGCUAGUGUUAUUCGGAAUGACUGGGCGUAAAGGGCACGUAGGCGGUGAAUCCGGUUGAAAGUGAAAGUCGCCAGCUCAACUGGCGGAAUGCUUUCAAAACCAAUUCACUUGAGUAAGAUAGAGGAUAGUGGAAUUCCUGGUGUAGCGGUGAAAUGCGCAGAUAUCAGGAGGAACACCCGUGGCGAAAGCGGCUCUCUGGGACGGUACUGACGCUGAGACGCGAAAGCGUGGGGAGCAAACAGG